CUCCUCUCAGGAUCACAUCUGGAGAGUUUCCAGUACUCUACCAUUCUAGGCUACAGGAGGGAGAGUCAAGCAGAAGCCUAUCCGUUCCAUUUCUAGCUGGGGCAGUGGCUAGCGAGUGGCAGGCAAUCUGCAACAAGU